rnacentral:rRNA from 1 species
AUUGAACGCCGGCGGCAUGCCUUACACAUGCAAGUCGAACGGUAACAGGUUAAGCUGACGAGUGGCGAACGGGUGAGUAAUAUAUCGGAACGUGCCCAGUCGUGGGGGAUAACUGCUCGAAAGAGCAGCUAAUACCGCAUACGACCUGAGGGUGAAAGCGGGGGAUCGCAAGACCUCGCGCGACUGGAGCAGCCGAUAUCACACUAGGUAGUUGGAGGGGUAAGAGCCCACCAACCCAACGAUCUGUAGCCGGUCUGAGAGGACGACCAGCCACACUGGGACUGAGACACGGCCCAGACUCCUACGGGAUGCAGCAGUGGGGAAUUUUGGACAAUAGGCGCAAGCCUGAUCCAGCCAUGCCGCGUGCGGGAAGAGGGCCUUCGGGUUGUAGACCGCUUUUGUCAGGGAAGAAAAGGUUCUGGUUAAUUCCUGGGACUCAUGACGGUACCUGAAGAAUAAGCACCGGCUAACUACGUGCCAUCCGCCGCCGUAA